rnacentral:rRNA from 1 species
AUCCUGGCUCAGAUUGAACGCUGGCGGCAUGCCUUACACAUGCAAGUCGAACGGCAGCGCGGGGCAACCUGGCGGCGAGUGGCGAACGGGUGAGUAAUAUAUCGGAACGUGCCCGGUCGUGGGGGAUAACGUAGCGAAAGCUACGCUAAUACCGCAUACGAUCUACGGAUGAAAGCGGGGGAUCGCAAGACCUCGCGCGAUUGGAGCGGCCGAUAUCAGAUUAGGUAGUUGGUGAGGUAAAGGCUCACCAAGCCGACGAUCUGUAGCUGGUCUGAGAGGACGACCAGCCACACUGGGACUGAGACACGGCCCAGACUCCUACGGGAGGCAGCAGUGGGGAAUAUUGGACAAUGGGCGAAAGCCUGAUCCAGCCAUGCCGCGUGUGUGAAGAAGGUCUUCGGAUUGUAAAGCACUUUAAGUUGGGAGGAAGGGUAGUAACCUAAUACGUUGCUACUUUGACGUUACCGACAGAAUAAGCACCGGCUAACUUCGUG